rnacentral:rRNA from 1 species
AGGUGCUGCAGUGGCUGUCGUCAGCUCGUGUCGUGAGACGUUCGGUUAAGUCCGCUAACGAGCGCAACCCUCGCUGUGUGUUACAAGUGUCACACGGAACUGCCGGUCAUAAACCGGAGGAAGGUGGGAUGACGUCAAGUCAGCAUGGCCUUUAUAUCCUGGGCUACACACACGCUACAAUGGGAAGGGACAAUAGGUUGCGAAGCCGCGAGGCGGAGCCAAUCCAGCAAAACUUCCCUCAGUUCAGAUUGCAGGCUGCAACCCGCCUGCAUGAAGUUGGAGUUGCUAGUAAACGCAGGUCAGCCAUACUGCGUUGAAUACGUUCCCGGGGCUU